CAAUAGCGUAUAUUAAAGUUGUUGCGGUUAAAAAGCUCGUAGUUGGAUUUCUGCUGAGGACGAUCGGUCCGCCCUCUGGGUGAGUAUCUGGCUCGGCCUUGGCAUCUUCUUGGAGAACGUUACUGCACUUGACUGUGUGGUGCGGUAUCCAGGACUUUUACUUUGAGGAAAUUAGAGUGUUUCAAGCAGGCGCACGCCUUGAAUACAUUAGCAUGGAAUAAUAAGAUAGGACCUUGGUUCUAUUUUGUUGGUUUCUAGAGCUGAGGUAAUGAUUAAUAGGGAUAGUUGGGGGCAUUCGUAUUUAACUGUCAGAGGUGAAACUCUUGGAUUUGUUAAAGACGGACUACUGCGAAAGCAUUUGCCAAGGAUGUUUUCAUUGA
rnacentral:rRNA from 1 species